GACGAACGCUGGCGGCGUGCUUAACACAUGCAAGUCGAACGGAAAGGCCCUGCUUUUGUGGGGUGCUCGAGUGGCGAACGGGUGAGUAACACGUGAGUAACCUGCCCUUGACUUUGGGAUAACUUCAGGAAACUGGGGCUAAUACCGGAUAGGAGCUCCUGCUGCAUGGUGGGGGUUGGAAAGUGUCGGCGGUUGGGGAUGGACUCGCGGCUUAUCAGCUUGUUGGUGGGGUAGUGGCUUACCAAGGCUUUGACGGGUAGCCGGCCUGAGAGGGUGACCGGCCACAUUGGGACUGAGGUACGGCCCAGACUCCUACGGGAGGCAGCAGUGGGGAAUAUUGCACAAUGGGCGGAAGCCUGAUGCAGCAACGCCGCGUGCGGGAUGACGGCCUUCGGGUUGUAAACCGCUUUCGCCUGUGACGAAGCGUGAGUGACGGUAAUGGGUAAAGAAGCACCGGCUAACUACGUG
rnacentral:rRNA from 1 species